AGAGCGAACGCUGGCGGCAGGCCUAAUACAUGCAAGUCGAACGGAUCCUUCGGGAUUAGUGGCGGACGGGUGAGUAACACGUGGGAACGUGCCCUUUGGUUCGGAACAACUCAGGGAAACUUGAGCUAAUACCGAAUGUGCCCUUCGGGGGAAAGAUUUAUCGCCAUUGGAGCGGCCCGCGUCUGAUUAGCUAGUUGGUGGGGUAAAGGCCCACCAAGGCGACGAUCAGUAGCUGGUCUGAGAGGAUGAUCAGCCACACUGGGACUGAGACACGGCCCAGACUCCUACGGGAGGCAGCAGUAGGGAAUCUGCGCAAUGGGCGAAAGCCUGACGCAGCCAUGCCGCGUGAAUGAUGAAGGUCUUAGGAUUGUAAAAUUCUUUCAGCGGGGACGAUAAUGACGGUACCCGCAGAAGAAGCCCGGCUAACUUCGUGCCAGCAGCCGC
rnacentral:rRNA from 1 species